AGAGUUUGAUCCUGGCUCAGGACGAACGCUGGCGGCGUGCCUAAUACAUGCAAGUCGAGCGGACAGAUGGGAGCUUGCUCCCUGAUGUUAGCGGCGGACGGGUGAGUAACACGUGGGUAACCUGCCUGUAAGACUGGGAUAACUCCGGGAAACCGGGGCUAAUACCGGAUGGUUGUUUGAACCGCAUGGUUCAAACAUAAAAGGUGGCUUCGGCUACCACUUACAGAUGGACCCGCGGCGCAUUAGCUAGUUGGUGAGGUAACGGCUCACCAAGGCAACGAUGCGUAGCCGACCUGAGAGGGUGAUCGGCCACACUGGGACUGAGACACGGCCCAGACUCCUACGGGAGGCAGCAGUAGGGAAUCUUCCGCAAUGGACGAAAGUCUGACGGAGCAACGCCGCGUGAGUGAUGAAGGUUUUCGGAUCGUAAAGCUCUGUUGUUAGGGAAGAACAAGUACCGUUCGAAUAGGGCGGUACCUUGACGGUACCUAACCAGAAAGCCACGGCUAACUACGUGCCAGCAGCCGCGGUAAUACGUAGGUGGCAAGCGUUGUCCGGAAUUAUUGGGCGUAAAGGGCUCGCAGGCGGUUUCUUAAGUCUGAUGUGAAAGCCCCCGGCUCAACCGGGGAGGGUCAUUGGAAACUGGGGAACUUGAGUGCAGAAGAGGAGAGCGGAAUUCCACGUGUAGCGGUGAAAUGCGUAGAGAUGUGGAGGAACACCAGUGGCGAAGGCGACUCUCUGGUCUGUAACUGACGCUGAGGAGCGAAAGCGUGGGGAGCGAACAGGAUUAGAUACCCUGGUAGUCCACGCCGUAAACGAUGAGUGCUAAGUGUUAGGGGGUUUCCGCCCCUUAGUGCUGCAGCUAACGCAUUAAGCACUCCGCCUGGGGAGUACGGUCGCAAGACUGAAACUCAAAGGAAUUGACGGGGGCCCGCACAAGCGGUGGAGCAUGUGGUUUAACUCGAAGCAACGCGAAGAACCUUACCAGGUCUUGACAUCCUCUGACAAUCCUAGAGAUAGGACGUCCCCUUCGGGGGCAGAGUGACAGGUGGUGCAUGGUUGUCGUCAGCUCGUGUCGUGAGAUGUUGGGUUAAGUCCCGCAACGAGCGCAACCCUUGAUCUUAGUUGCCAGCAUUCAGUUGGGCACUCUAAGGUGACUGCCGGUGACAAACCGGAGGAAGGUGGGGAUGACGUCAAAUCAUCAUGCCCCUUAUGACCUGGGCUACACACGUGCUACAAUGGACAGAACAAAGGGCAGCGAAACCGCGAGGUUAAGCCAAUCCCACAAAUCUGUUCUCAGUUCGGAUCGCAGUCUGCAACUCGACUGCGUGAAGCUGGAAUCGCUAGUAAUCGCGGAUCAGCAUGCCGCGGUGAAUACGUUCCCGGGCCUUGUACACACCGCCCGUCACACCACGAGAGUUUGUAACACCCGAAGUCGGUGAGGUAACCUUUUAGGAGCCAGCCGCCGAAGGUGGGACAGAUGAUUGGGGUGAAGUCGUAACAAGGUA
rnacentral:rRNA from 1 species